rnacentral:lncRNA from 1 species
CGCGCGGCGCGAUGACCGGGAGGCAUGUUUCAAGAGUCCGGUCUUUAUAUAGGCGAAUCUUGCAGCUACAUCGGGCUCUACCCCCAGACCUCAAAGCCCUGGGUGACCAGUACGUGAAGGACGAAUUUAGGAGACAUAAGACCGUUGGUCCUGGCGAGGCCCAGCGUUUCUUAAAGGAAUGGGAGUGAGACCUCCAAGGAAGGAGAUGCCAAGUAGUGCUUCAAAGCUUCGGACCACAAUCAAACACAGCAUCCUUUUCAACAGAAGCAGAAGCUCAUCUGAAUAUGCUCAAGGAUGCUGACAUCAACAUUUAAUCAUCUGCUCACUCAUCCAGGAAGAAGGGGGAGAUCAGUUACUACUGUAACUUUAUUGUGUUCAACCAAAUCACCAUGUUACAAAAAUAGCAAGCUGCCAUAAUAAAAAAUAAAGCUCCUCUAUCCAGC